rnacentral:rRNA from 1 species
CCAUCAGAUGUGCCCAGAUGGGAUUAGAUAGUAGGUGUGGUAACGGCUCACCUAGGCGAAGAUCCAUAUCUGGUCUGAUAGUAUGACCAGACACACUGGAACUGAGACACUGUCCAGACUCCUACGGGAGGCAGCAGUGGGGAAUAUUUCACAAUGGGCGAAAGCCUGAUGCAGCCAUUCCGCGUGUGUGAAGAAUGCCUUCGGGUUGUAAAGCACUUUCAGCGGGGAGGAAG